AAAGCAGAGUAACGGCUAGUUUUCGUGGGGGUUGGCAUAAAUAGCCACAGAGGACUGUAGCAAGGUAGAGAACAGAUAUUCCACUCCAAGCAUUCAAGUUUUCAAGCUCUCCAAGUGCUCUUAAACGAAAAAGGGGAGAUCUGCAUUUACUGCUCCAACAACUUCUUUCCAACAAUCAAAGCUUCCUCCUCCUGCAUUCAAGUCGACCACUCUUUCAAGAGGA
rnacentral:lncRNA from 1 species